rnacentral:rRNA from 1 species
AGCGGCGGACGGGUUAGUAACGCGUGGGAAUAUACCCAGAUCUAAGGAAUAGCCACUGGAAACGGUGAGUAAUACCUUAUACGCCCUUCGGGGGAAAGAUUUAUCGGAUUUGGAUUAGCCCGCGUUAGAUUAGAUAGUUGGUGGGGUAAUGGCCUACCAAGUCUACGAUCUAUAGCUGGUUUUAGAGGAUGAUCAGCAACACUGGGACUGAGACACGGCCCAGACUCCUACGGGAGGCAGCAGUGGGGAAUCUUGGACAAUGGGCGCAAGCCUGAUCCAGCCAUGCCGCGUGAGUGAUGAAGGCCUUAGGGUCGUAAAGCUCUUUCGCCAGGGAUGAUAAUGACAGUACCUGGUAAAGAAACCCCGGCUAACUCCGUGCCAGCAGCCGCGGUAAUACGGAGGGGGUUAGCGUUGUUCGGAAUUACUGGGCGUAAAGCGUACGUAGGCGGGUUGUUAAGUUAGAGGUGAAAUCCCAGGGCUCAACCCUGGAACUGCCUUUAAUACUGGCAACCUAGAGUUCGAGAGAGGUGAGUGGAAUUCCGAGUGUAGAGGUGAAAUUCGUAGAUAUUCGGAGGAACACCAGUGGCGAAGGCGGCUCACU